GGUGGCCCACGCACCUACAGAAAUACAGUCCACCGCUGAUAGUUCGAGACUACCACUGAAGCGUGCACAUUCGCCGUGUCGAGGCCAACUUUCUGACAGUAUGAUACUAUAAAUAGCCAUGGCACGUGCAAUUCUCUACAAAUCUAUCAACUAUUACAGCCGUAAAAAAAUUAUUGUUGACGAUUUUGAAUAGCAGUGAAAUUAAGCUUCUUGGUUAUUACAGCAGAUUUAGAAAUUACGUUCGUUUCAUUUUUUAAAUCGCUUUAUCAUUAACUGUACCGUUAAGAGCGGCAUCUUUUGGUUUAGUACAAAUAAUAUCUCAGAAACACUCGGGUUAGACAGGAACAUGAUACUAGCAGUAGUUUCAUUUUACUUUUACAAGCUUCUUAAAACAAUUGUUGAGCUAGCUAACGUGCUCAUUUCUAAAUUCAAUUUCUUGUUCUAGCUUUCUGUUAUGUUUCGUAAAAAAGUAGUCUUGAUUAUCCCGACCUGUCAAUCAGCCCUAGAAUGGUCGAUAGACUGGUUAAGCGAGACUAAUUUCAAAACAAGGGCACGUAACCUAUCUUUUACUCAAAAGUGUCUGGAUGUUAUGGACGACACAUGGAACCAGUUUUCAGUCUAUUAUUUAUAGAUGAUUAAUGGUCAUAGCUUAUUAAGUACAACAUGAUCGUUUAUUUAGUGACUAUAAUUGUGUGAAACUGAUUUGAGGCUUGGCAUAUAUAUAAAUAUUGUGGCGAAAUUGUCGAGAUAUAUGGAGAUAUCUAUUUAUGGCAUGACUAGAAUACUGAUGGAGCAUGACUAAAUGUGGUAGUAGAAUGACUUGAUGGUAAUGGAUUCUGAUUAGAGAUGGAUAGUAGAAUGACUUGAUGGUAAUGGACUCCGACAAGAGAUGGUAGUAGAAUGACUUUGGUAAUGGACACUGACAAGAGAUGGCAGUAGAAUGUUAAACCACAAUUGGUACUUUAUUCAAUAUUUAUGGAACUUGUUUCUACAGAACAAUCCAUAUGAGUGUAACCCAAUCUGUGAAAAGAUUGACAGGCCAAUUUAUUUGAAGUGAUCAUGUCUAUUAAAUGGGUUUCCUGCUAAUAGUAACCAAAUACUCUGAAAUUAAAAGAAAUAUUACGAUUUUUAUUUUAAUAUACUACCGGUAUGCUUUACAACCAAUACUUGAUUAUGAAAAUUGGAGGUUGUCAACUCAGUGUAAUUAGAUUCAAUUUCUAAAUGUUUACAUUAAACAAAAGUCAGGAUGACUAACUCUGGAAUAAAUGAUUUAAUCACAUAUUAUGAUCUCAAUCAACAGAACACUUCUACAGGGUUCCCGCGGCUUCGUCAAACAUUUUUUCAAGGAUAAAUAUACGUCAAAUUCAAGGAUUUUCAAGGACUUUUUUUAGCUUAAAGUUACAAUUUUUCAUCUUAAAAAUAACCAAAACAUUACCAACUAUCGUUAUAAUCUCAUAUUUAAAAGGAAUUGAAGACAUUUGAAACAAAAUUAAGGAUCUCAACUGAAAUUCAAGGAUAUUUUCCUAUUUCCGCGAAAUUCAAGGAUAUUCAAGACCUUGAAAAUGAAAUUUUAAAUUUAAGGAUAUUUAAGGACCGCAGGCACCCUGUUCUCCGGUGGCUGAUUUAGGACACGCAAAAAAUAAUAAUAUCUCAAGUACUCAAGAUACUAAGUCGAGAGCUCGAGAUACUAAGACAAGUGCUUGAGAUACUAAGUCGAGCGCUUGAGAUAAUUAAGUCAAGCGCUGGAGAUACUAAGUCCAGCACUUGAGAUAAUACAAUCGAACAUGUCUCAGCCGAUGUUUUAAGCUGUAAAAUAAUAUCUCGAGCAUUCGAGAUAUAUUUUUUUUUUUUGCAUGUCCUAAAUCAGCCACCUACACUUCACUAGAAUCUUCGUAAGAAUCUUUCAUGAACUUACAGCAUUGUGGAUGGUUACAUCCUGGUCUUACUAACUGUUGCCUGUUUGCUCAGCCUCUCCCAAGGUUUAAAGUCUCUAUUAUACAUAUACUUUCUGGAAUAAAAAAUAAUAUAAAUCAA